rnacentral:rRNA from 1 species
AGCCUGAUGCAGCAACGCCGCGUGAGGGAUGACGGCCUUCGGGUUGUAAACCUCUUUUAGCAGGGAAGAAGCGAAAGUGACGGUACCUGCAGAAAAAGCGCCGGCUAACUACGUGCCAGCAGCCGCGGUAAUACGUAGGGCGCAAGCGUUAUCCGGAAUUAUUGGGCGUAAAGAGCUCGUAGGCGGUUUGUCGCGUCUGCUGUGAAAUCCGGAGGCUCAACCUCCGGCCUGCAGUGGGUACGGGCAGACUAGAGUGCGGUAGGGGAGAUUGGAAUUCCUGGUGUAGCGGUGGAAUGCGCAGAUAUCAGGAGGAACACCGAUGGCGAAGGCAGAUCUCUGGGCCGUAACUGACGCUGAGGAGCGAAAGGGUGGGGAGCAAACAGGCUUAGAUACCCUGGUAGUCCACCCCGUAAACGUUGGGAACUAGUUGUGGGGUCCAUUCCACGGAUUCCGUGACGCAGCUAACGCAUUAAGUUCCCCGCCUGGGGAGUACGGCCGCAAGGCUAAAACUCAAAGGAAUUGACGGGGACCCGCACAAGCGGCGGAGCAUGCGGAUUAAUUCGAUGCAACGCGAAGAACCUUACCAAGGCUUGACAUAUACGAGAACGGGCCAGAAAUGGUCAACUCUUUGGACACUCG